rnacentral:rRNA from 1 species
UACAGAGGGUGCAAGCGUUAAUCGGAAUUACUGGGCGUAAAGCGUGCGUAGACGGUUAUGUAAGUCGGGUGUGAAAGCCCCGGGCUCAACCUGGGAAUUGCAUUCGAGACUGUGUAGCUAGGGUACGGAAGAGGGAAGCGGAAUUUCAGGUGUAGCGGUGAAAUGCGUAGAUAUCUGAAGGAACACCAGUGACGAAAGCGGCUUCCUGGUCCAGUACCGACGUUCAGGCACGAAAGCGUGGGGAGCAAACAGG